rnacentral:rRNA from 1 species
UACAGAGGUCCCAAGCGUUGUUCGGAUUCAUUGGGCGUAAAGGGCUCGUAGGUGGCCAACUAAGUCAUACGUGAAAUCCCUCGGCUUAACCGGGGAACUGCGUCUGAUACUGGAUGGCUUGAGGUUGGGAGAGGGAUGCGGAAUUCCAGGUGUAGCGGUGAAAUGCGUAGAUAUCUGGAGGAACACCGGUGGCGAAGGCGGGUCUCUGGGCCGAUACUGACGCUGAGGAGCGAAAGCGUGGGGAGCGAACAGG